AGAAAAAAAAUAUGCAUGCAGUAAACACGCUCUUAGGAAUGUUAAAUACUCUACACACGGACUGAAGAAAUUUGAACGCGGCUGAUUUGCUCGGCAUCGUUGCCUCAGGCUCUCCGCCUUCUGGCUGGAAAAGCUUCAGUUUAGGCAGAGUUUCCUUCCGUCCAGUUCAGUUUUGAACCCUAAACAUGUAUUGUAGAAUUCCUUUCAGCCGUAGCUGGGUUCAGGGGCUGUUAGCCGUGUGCAUUUAUUUAGCAUUCAUUGCACGGUGCCAUGUUGGGGAAUGUGUUACUGAAAAAAGUACCGUGGCUGGCUGCUUCAGACCCAUCAGGGUAGUCUUUGACCCAGUGACCCCGCCCAGGCUCAGAGAAGGCUUUGGUUUUUCGUGAGGGCCUCGUUCAUUGCUGUAUACUUGCAAAAGACACCAUAGCCAACAAGCAAAAGAGGAAGACUUUGAAAUAAGCAUUUACGGAAUUGGAGAGUGACGGGAGCGACAGUGAUGGCGAACUUCCCUCUGGACUGGAGAGCUUAGACUCCAUAGAAACAGCAGCAUACGAUGACCGCUCGGAUCCUCUUCUGGACUCGAGGAAGUGGAGGACUAGGCAGGCUGGAACUGGAUGACCUCGCAUCAGCUUGCAAUGAAAGAAAGAAAAGACCUCACCAUGGCACCGCAGUUCUAAUAGGUGGCUGCUGUUCCAGAGCUUACAGCUGAGAAUGUGCACAGUGGAUCUCAGCCAGCACGGUCAGAGUCCAGUCCCCAAACUGCUGCCCCACACGGCAUCCACAUACU